GCCUGCUAGCAUCAAUUGAGUGUGUGUGUGUGUGUGUGUGUGUGUGUAUUUACGUAUAUUUAUACAUACACAACCCUCAAAUUUCCAGGCCCUGUGGGAGGAGGACCCCAUCUCCCUGCUUAAAAGAGAACAGCUGAGUUUCCAUUGCUAAAAUGGUGUAAAAGCCACCGUUUCAUCACAUUCUAUGUAAAGGUGGGGAAACUGAGGCUCGGCGGCAAGGUGGUGGCUUCACGUUGAGGAGAAAGAGGCCCCACAGUGCCUUGCGCGGAGGAGGAGGCUGGCAGCCAGAGAGGGACUCCGCCACAGCCAGAGGCGUCCAGGGUUUUAGGAAUGGGAUUGAGGAUCGGGAGCACAAAAGAGGAGAAUUGAUGUUCGGCUUUUGACUGAAUGGGAUCCUGCAGUCUUCAGCCAGAUAAUGGUCUUGAAAGCCGGGCUUUGUUGAGAGAGGGGAAGGCUUUGUGCUGUGGAGAUCACCACCGCCACGUGAUUGAUGACGGUGAUUACAAGGCCAUGAUCUACUUGGGGGACCCUCCCGGCGUGUGACAGGAGACAUCCACAGCGAUUAGUCGGGGGCCGCACAGGAGCUGCUUGCUGGCUUCCAGGCGUGUGACGGCAGUGGGUUCUGAGCCAUCACUCUUCCUACGGCGGAUGAGGAGGCCCAGAUGCGCCUGGCAAAAUGAUGUACAAGAAAGACUCAUGCGUCUUGCUCCAAUUAAGAUGUUGGAAGAGAAGAGAGUCUAAUUGUCCCACAAUUACCUUUAUUUAUCAAACUCAGAAUGAAGUGUGAUUAUGAAGUGUCUCAGGAGAAGCGUGCAGAGUUGGGGAUGGUCCAGGCCCUGCCUGGCGUCCCAGCCGCUGCGGGGGAGGAAGGACAGCCACGGCGGCACCUGCGGACGGCCUCCCCAUGGAGGAAGCCAGGUAGAUGAGCAAGGUGAGUUCUGGCUCCCGCUGUGCCACCGGAUUGCAGGGGACUUUGUCCCUUCCCACAGCAUCUGGGACAGACCUCCAGCAGAUUUUCCAUAAACGUUUGUUGAAUCGGUGGGUGACAGGUAAGGCGACUUAGGCUCAUGAGGGCUCAGUAAUUUACCCGAGGACACACAGUCAAUAAUUCUCAGAGCCACAAGUCAGUGUGUUUGACCGAGUGGAGUUCAAGUGCUUUGAAACACAGGACCAAGGAUAAGCCGAAGACGUUGGUUUAUCAUUGCACGGUCACACACCCACAAUAGACCGAGGACCACUUGGAUGCCUCAGAAUAAACGUUCAGAAAGAAAAGAAUGAACGAACUGAUUAUAUGCCAGGCGCUGUUGUAUGCACCAGUGGUGCAGGUGUCCGUGAAACACCAUCUCUAAUUUCAAGAAACAGUCUAGUGGGGAGACACAGCUGGCAAGGCAGUGUGACAUGUGCGGUAAAUGCAGAAUGUCCGGGUCCCACAGGUGGUUGGACCAGGGUGGGGGCCAGGAAGAAUUUCCUGGAGUGUUUGACAUUUGGGAGCAGUCUUAAAGGAUGAGGGAGGGAUGGGAUAGAUAAGCCAAGGAGAAAAGCCUGUGCAAAGGCCCUGGGGGUGAAAAGGUUGACCCUGCCGGGCUGACCUGUCUGUGUGCAGGUGGGCACCGGAAGCUGUGGGAUGGGAAGUGGUGACCCUGGGCUGGCCCCGGCCCUGCCUGCUGGGCCAGCCAUCCACUCUGAACUUGCAGACUCCGGAGGCCCCCGGCCGCCGCCACACCCUGCCAGCUCCCGUGGCACGAGAGAGGAGGAGGAAGCAAUCUUACUUUGCUCAGUUUCCUGUGGUCCUUCCGUAAUCCCUGUGCUGGCUCCAAGGAGCAAUGGCUCAAGAUAGCUUUGCGUAGCAGGAUGGAUGGCGGGCCACAGACGGGCUCUUCCGACCUGGGGCUCCUUUUAUAUCCGUGUGUUGGCUGCUGCCUGGCCACAGCCCGUGCAUGCCCAGCUGUGGCCGAGCGGGCAAGAACCAAGGGGGGCUGGCAUUUGUAGAAGGCGGACUAGGAGCUACUCACAGUCCUGGGGGCUUUCACACAUGGUCUUCUCACCGACUCCUCAUUGCAGCCUGGAGGUGGCGCUGUUAUCCCCAUUUUGUAGAUGAGAAGGCAAAUGCUCAGGGAGCUUAGGAAGCGGGGCCAACAUUUGGACCAAGAUUGUCUUGGUCCACUGUGUCAGGACCAGCCAGACAACUAAAGGCAAAUGUUGGUCCUACCGGUAGGUCCAGGGUGUGUGAAAUAGGGAGUGGGCAUGAGGGCCUGGGGGAAAGUGCUGGAAAAGUUCAGUUCUCCUCAGCUAAUUCUGACUUUGCCUUGAGUGGCCCUUCAUAGGAAGACAAUAACACUGCUGAUGGUCCUUUAUAUUUUAAUAUACUGUAUAUCCAUACAUGCACUCAUCCAACUCUCCAUCUCCAUGUCCAUCCAUCCAUCCACCCAUCCUCCCAUCCAUCC